UGGGGAAUAUUGGGCAAUGGGCGCAAGCCUGACCCAGCAACGCCGCGUGAAGGAAGAAGGCUUUCGGGUUGUAAACUUCUUUUCUCAGGGACGAACAAAUGACGGUACCUGAGGAAUAAGCCACGGCUAACUACGUGCCAGCAGCCGCGGUAAUACGUAGGUGGCAAGCGUUAUCCGGAUUUACUGGGUGUAAAGGGCGUGUAGGCGGGAAGGCAAGUCAGAUGUGAAAACUAUGGGCUCAACCCAUAGCCUGCAUUUGAAACUGUUUUUCUUGAGUGCUGGAGAGGCAAUCGGAAUUCCGUGUGUAGCGGUGAAAUGCGUAGAUAUACGGAGGAACACCAGUGGCGAAGGCGGAUUGCUGGACAGUAACUGACGCUGAGGCGCGAAAGCGUGGGGAGCAAACAGGAUUAGAUACCCUGGUAGUCCACGCUGUAAACGAUGGAUACUAGGUGUGGGGGGUCUGACCCCCUCCGUGCCGCAGUUAACACAAUAAGUAUCCCACCUGGGGAGUACGAUCGCAAGGUUGAAACUCAAAGGAAUUGACGGGGGCCCGCACAAGCGGUGGAGUAUGUGGUUUAAUUCGAAGCAACGCGAAGAACCUUACCAGGGCUUGACAUCCUACUAACGAAGCAGAGAUGCAUUAGGUGCCCUUCGGGGAAAGUAGAGACAGGUGGUGCAUGGUUGUCGCCAGCUCGUGUCGUGAGAUGUUGGGUUAAGUCCCGCAACGAGCGCAACCCUUAUUGUUAGUUGCUACGCAAGAGCACUCUAGCGAGACUGCCGUUGACAAAACGGAGGAAGGCGGGGACGACGUCAAAUCAUCAUGCCCCUUAUGUCCUGGGCUACACACGUACUACAAUGGUGGUAAACAGAGGGAAGCAAGACCGCGAGGUGGAGCAAAUCCCUAAAAGCCAUCCCAGUUCGGAUUGUAGUCUGCAACUCGACUACAUGAAGCUGGAAUCGCUAGUAAUCGCAGAUCAGAAUGCUGCGGUGAAUACGUUCCC
rnacentral:rRNA from 1 species